UGAAUAAAUUAAGUCUAGUGAUCAAACUACAAUUAGGAUCAGUUGACUAGAUCAAGCUAGAACCAUUAUCGAUUUUGAGCAGUUAACUGAACCUAAUCAAUUGUUGGUUAGGAAUAGGUCAAAAAGACUCAAAAUUGAGUUUAGUUAUAGUUAGUCGUAUCGAUUCAUAUUUUGAUGUGAAUUGAUUGACUCAAGAUCUAAUUUGGCUCAGU
rnacentral:lncRNA from 1 species